rnacentral:rRNA from 1 species
UCAGGAUGAAUGCUGGCGGCGUGCCUAAUACAUGCAAGUCGAGCGGCAGCGAGGGUCUCAUCCUAUCUGGAAGUUUUCGUAGAAUAGAAUGAGAUCUGUCGGCGAGCGGCGGACGGCUGAGUAACGCAUGGGAACGCACCCCAAACUGAGGGAUAACUAGUCGAAAGAUUAGCUAAUACCGCAUGUGAUCUUCGGAUUAAAGCUUUCGGGCGGUUUGGGAGCGGCCUGUGUACGAUUAGAUAGUUGGUGAGGUAAUGGCUCACCAAGUCAACGAUCGUUAGAUGGUUUGAGAGGAUGAUCAUCCAGACUGGGACUGAGACACGGCCCAGACUCCUACGGGAGGCAGCAGUAGGGAAUCUUUCACAGUGGGCGAAAGCCUGAAUGGAGCAACGCCGCGUGCAGGAUGAAGGCCUUCGGGUUGUAAACUGCUUUUAUAAGCGAGGAAUAUGACGGUAACUUAUGAAUAAGGAUCGGCUAACUACGUGCCAGCCGCCGC